rnacentral:lncRNA from 1 species
CUGGGCACAGGCUGCGGAUCUGGCUUAGCUCAAGUGGAGAGAUUCUGCUGGCAGAAAGAGAACACAAAGCUUUUAGUUGGCAUACAAUGCUAGAAUAACAAGGCAGAAAAUUGUGAGGCCUUAACUACUUGACCAAUUCUCUCUACAGAACAUUUUCAGAGCUCUGGGACUAUGGGAAUCUGGAGAGUUAAGAACAAUGUUCUGAAAUGUAGACUGAGAUGUCUUGCAAUCUACUGUGCUUAGGAAACAAAGUCCUGCUGAGCAGAAGUAGCUGAAUUCAGGCACAUGGUUGGAGUCUCUUCAGGAUAUUUGUCUUUGAACCUUCAGGACAGAGAGAGUGUGAAGCUUGGCUAGGAAGUUUUAAGGGCAGAGCUUGCUGCUUUAUUUUUAAAACUUCAGAGCUAUUCUGUUUUUAUAGGCAAAUAUAUCAUGUUAAUGUUUCUAGCAAUAAUGAAAAUAGACUUUGAAUGAUUUUGAAAUAUUUUCCAGUAAUUAUGAAACACUGACUUGUGGAGGGCAUGUGUUGCUAAAGUAGUCACCUUAUAUGUAGCUUUGGAGACAGUUAGAAAUGCAUGUGAGUCACAGACACAAAUCUCUGCUUUAUGAGAAGACAGAGCUAUUUUCUCCAUCAGGUUUUCAAUAUCCAGCGUUCACUUGGCCGAGCGUGUUCUUUCUCCCACUUCUUUGCCUCCAUCCUUCUCAUUCAGAGGAUUUUUAGCUUACUUAUUACCUGUUCAAAGAAGCUGUGACUGGCCAUAAUAUUGGAGGUUUUGGGGUACAUGAGCAGAGCAUGCAAGACAGUUGAUGAGUUCGUGUCAUUUGUAGGGACAUGGAUGAAUCUGGAGAACAUCAUCCUCAGCAAACUGACACAAGAACAGAAAAUGAAACACCGCAUAUUCUCACUCAUAGGAUCUCUGCCAGUAAUUAUCAGGAUGAAGACUGCUAGAGACACUUUAGAAAAUAAUAAUAAUGGAGAAACUCCUCCUUGGAGAACACUGGACUUAGGAUGAAAACCAUCACCAUUAUAACAAUAAUUAUGCUGUAGUAAUUGUAUGAUAAUUUAAUAAUUAUUAGUAACAGGUAUUAUAUGUUGAAAUGACAUGCCAGGUAUUAGAUGUGGUUAUUGCAUUAUUUAAUCUUCAUAGCAAGCUAAUAUUUUCACUACCUUUUCAACAGAGGUAUUGAGAUUGAAAGGCAUAGAGGGAAAUAUUAGCUAUUUUAAUAAGACACAAUGCAAUACGCACUUAUGGUAAAACUAAGUCAAUAUGUAGGACUCUAUUUACAUAGGAUGCCGUAUUUACUUAUUGUAAAUCUAAGUCAAUAUAUAGGACUCUGUAGGUUAUUUGUAGCUUCAAAUAUUUCUCAAUACAAAAUCCCAUGAAAAUAAGUGUAAUGCCUUGAACAUGUUUAACAAAUACAAUGUUUUGUGCAUCACGUAAUUAGAAAGAAACAGGUUAUACAUUACAUAUCACAUUAAAAGAUAUCAAUGGUUGAAUCAUUAGACAUGUCAUAUGUGGUAGGUGAAAAGGGACCCGCAAAGAUAUUAUAUCCUGAUUUUGGGGAAGCAAUGAGUUAUAUGGCCAAAAAAUGUAUCUGUAGAUGUGAUAUGUGAUUAUAUUCAGGACCUGAGAUGGAGAGAUAUCAAAUUGGCCCUAAAUGCAAUCACAAUCAGGUGUAUCCUUGUAAUAGAAAGUCAGAGGUAUAUUUAACAUAAACAGAGGAGGAAAAAAAUGUUAAGACGGAGCAGAGAGAGAUUAUAAAAUGUUGUCCAUGAAGAUUGGAGUGAUGUAACCAAAACCCAAGGAAUGCCACAGCUACCAGAAGCUGGAAGAGGCAGGGAACUGAUUAUUCUCUAGAGCAUCCAGAGGUAAUGACCCCAUUGACACCUUUAAUUACAGCCCAGUGUUACUGAGGGUUGAUGAUAAUAUGCUUCAACUUUUUAGAUUACUCAUACCGGAAGUGUGAGUAGAAAGUUCCAAAGAGUGAAUUGAAUUAAGAAUAUAGGUGAAAGAAUCUAUGCAAUGAGGAAAAAAAUACUUCACUUCUUCAGAGAGAAACAGUAAUAAAAUACAGAUAAAUAGAACCAUUAAGAAUGGUUGGGGAGCAAGUAGAGUCACCCUGCCUCAAUAGAAAUUCUGUUUCUAACACUAAUUUGUUAACAUCUCUAAUAAUAUAAAAAUGAAUACACUAAGUAUGCCUAUAUUAUAGAGUUAUUGAAAUAAUCAUGUAAAAUAAUAAAUGUGACAUUCUAAUGGAUGGCUCAUAGUAAGUGUUCAUUGAAUGUUGAUAUUUUUAUCAUUAAAAUGUUUAAUUAAAAAAGAUGAAUGAGUUUAAUAAUUAUCUCAACUAAUAAUAAAAUGUGAGAUUACAGCCAAUAUUUGGUGGAUUACAAGCACAAGAAAAUUAAAGUUUAGUAGAUGAGGAAAAGUAUUUAUUUAUGAUGUGAAUAUAGAUACAAAAUAGGUGGUAUGAGCAGAUCUGAAGAUUUAGUACUAAUUCAAGUACUGGAAAUUAGAAAAUCAAUCUUAUAUAAAGCACUGUGAAUUAAGACAAAGUAAAUAAAUUUAGAAAAUUAAGUUAAGAAAGAAGGAGAAUUAUUUAUGUUCCUUUGGAUAUAUACCCAGUAUAAAGACAUAUACACAUAAGUUCAUUGAAACACUAUUCUCCAUAGCAAAGAUAUGGAAUCAACCUAAAUGCCCAUCAAUGAUAGACUACAUAAAGAAAACAUGGUGAGUAUUCACUACUGAAUACCAUGCAGCCCUGAAAAAGAAUGACAGCAUGUUCUUUGCAGGGACAUGGGUGGAGCUGGAGGUGAUUUUCCUUAGCAAAUUAACAUAGGAACAGAAAACCAAAUACUGCAUGUUCUCACUUAUAAGUGGGAGCUAAAUGAUGAGAACAUAUGAACACAUAGAGUGGAGCAACACAUAUUGGGGCUUUUUGGAGGAUAGAGGUUGGAAAGAGGAAGAAGAUCAGAAAAAGUAACUAAUAGGUACCAGUCUUAAUACCUGGGUGAUGAAAUAAUCUGUAUAAGCCCCCAUGACACAAGUUUACCUAUGUAACAAACCUGAACUUGUACCCCUGGACUUAAACUAAAAUUUUAAAAAAGCAUAAAAAGAAGAAAGAUGGAAAAAUAUACCAUUUUUUUCAAUAAUGAUGGUCAACAUGCAGAAACCUAUAAGCCAGGUAGUAAAUAUUUUAGGCUUUGUCUUACAGUCUGUUACAGCUACUCAAAUAUGCCACUGUAGUAUGAAAGCAGUGAUAGACAAUUCAGAGAUAAAAGAAGAUGUCUUCCUAGAAUAUUGUAUUUAACUAAAAGGUGGCGAGUUGGAUUUCUCAGGCCCUAAUAUAGAUUGUCAUGUGACUUUUUGGAAGGCUCCUACCUUAAUCAAUUUCAACUUAGAUAUUUAUAAAAUACAGAAAUUAACAUCUUCCUCAUAGAGAGUUAUUAUUCUCGAAGACCAAGUCAUGUAUUAGAAACACUGAUAAGCUAUGAAAGCACAAGUUUCACAACCAUGCUGGUCCUACUGGAUCAGUAACUCCAGCGAGGCAUUUACAGUUCUGUUUUCCUAAAAGCUUUCAUGGUGAUCUGGUGCAGGCAGUUCCGCAUCAGACUAAGAGCUGACUGAAUAAUGACUGUAAAAUAAUUAUUACAGAGUCUAGCAGAGUGUGUGCACUCAGCACUUAACAAAAGAAACAUGAUACAGUGGAAAACAGCCUUUAAAAAAUGCCAAAGACAGCUGUAAAGAAAAAGUUCAUGAAGGGCCAGGGGUGAUAGAAGACAAGAAUGAUAGUUACUUCUACUUCAAUCAAGGUUGGAAAAGCAAAGGAGCCAAUUUAAUGAAUGUGACCCUGAGUGUGUUUUAGCAGAAAUUUAAUAGGAUCCUCUUCUUUCUCUAACAUUCUUUCCUGAGUAAAGUGUCUCUCUGCUAGGAGUUUGGGACAUAAUUUAGACACAGAGAAUCCAAGUUCUUAGAAUACAUCUUCUCAUUACAUCUAGGUACAUUGUUCUUUCUCUAAAAAUUCACUUGAUUCCUAUCACAUGGAUUCAUUUAGUAAAAUUAUACGUAUGUGUCAAGAUGUAAUUCAAUAUAUUCCUUAAGAAUUAUAUCCCAUGAUGUCAUGGUCAAUAAUGU